GAUGCUUGCUUCGCUGACGAGUGGCGGACGGGUGAGUAAUACUUAGGGAUCUGCCCUUGGGUGGGGGAUAACUAUUGGAAACGAUAGCUAAUACCGCAUAAUGUCUACGGACCAAAGGGGGCUUUUGCUCCCGCCUGAGGAUGAACCUAAGCGAGAUUAGCUUGUUGGUGAGGUAAUGGCUCACCAAGGCGACGAUCUCUAGCUGUUCUGAGAGGAAGAUCAGCCACACUGGGACUGAGACACGGCCCAGACUCCUACGGGAGGCAGCAGUGGGGAAUAUUGCACAAUGGGGGAAACCCUGAUGCAGCCAUGCCGCGUGUGUGAAGAAGGCCUUAGGGUUGUAAAGCACUUUCAGUUGCGAGGAAAGGUUGAUGGUUAAUACCCAUCAGCUGUGACGUUAACAACAGAAGAAGCACCGGCUAACUCCGUGCCAGCAGCCGCGGUAAUACGGAGGGUGCGAGCGUUAAUCGGAAUUACUGGGCGUAAAGCGCACGCAGGCGGUUACAUAAGCCAGAUGUGAAAGCCCCGGGCUUAACCUGGGACGGUCAUUUGGAACUGUGUAACUAGAGUCUUGGAGAGGGGAGUGGAAUUCCAGGUGUAGCGGUGAAAUGCGUAGAUAUCUGGAGGAACAUCAGUGGCGAAGGCGACUCCCUGGCCAAAGACUGACGCUCAUGUGCGAAAAGUGUGGGUAGCGAACAGGAUUAGAUACCCUGGUAGUCCACACCGUAAACGCUGUCUACUAGCUGUUUGGACUUUCAUUAGACUGAGUAGCGAAGCUAACGCGCUAAGUAGACCGCCUGGGGAGUACGGCCGCAAGGUUAAAACUCAAAUGAUUGA
rnacentral:rRNA from 1 species